rnacentral:rRNA from 1 species
CACGCUGUAAACGAUGUCGACUUGGAGGUUGUGCCCUUGAGGCGUGGCUUCCGGAGCUAACGCGUUAAGUCGACCGCCUGGGGAGUACGGCCGCAAGGUUAAAACUCAAAUGAAUUGACGGGGGCCCGCACAAGCGGUGGAGCAUGUGGUUUAAUUCGAUGCAACGCGAAGAACCUUACCUACUCUUGACAUCCAGAGAAUUCGCUAGAGAUAGCUUAGUGCCUUCGGGAACUCUGAGACAGGUGC